CGUGGAGCAAACCUCAGAAAGCCAAUCUCAGUUCGGAUUGUAGGCUGCAACUCGCCUACAUGAAGUUGGAAUCGCUAGUAAUCGCGAAUCAGAAUGUCGCGGUGAAUACGUUCCCGGGUCUUGUACACACCGCCCGUCACACCACGAGAGUUUACAACACCCGAAGUCAGUGGCCUAACCGCAAGGAGGGAGCUGCCUAAGGUGGGGUAGAUGAUUGGGGUGAAGUCGUAACAAGGUACC
rnacentral:rRNA from 1 species